rnacentral:rRNA from 1 species
CAGUAGCCGCGGGAAUACGAAGGGGGCUAGCGUUGUUCGGAAUUACUGGGCGUAAAGCGCACGUAGGCGGAUAUUUAAGUCAGGGGUGAAAUCCCGCAGCUCAACUGCGGAACUGCCUUUGAUACUGGGUAUCUUGAGUAUGGAAGAGGUUAGUGGAAUUGCGAGUGUAGAGGUGAAAUUCGUAGAUAUUCGCAGGAACACCAGUGGCGAAGGCGGCUAACUGGUCCAUAACUGACGCUGAGGUGCGAAAGCGUGGGGAGCAAACAGGAUUAGAUACCCGAGUAGUCCCUGUCUCUUAUAA